rnacentral:tRNA from 1 species
GCUUCCAUAGCUCAGCGGAUAGAGCAGUAACCUUCUAAGUUAUUGGCGGGAGUUCAAAUCUCUCUGGAAGUGCCA